rnacentral:rRNA from 1 species
UCGUAUAGUACCGUCAGCCCACUACACGUAGUGAGGUUUCUUCCUAUACAAAAGCAGUUUACAACCCGUAGGGCCGUCAUCCUGCACGCGGCAUGGCUGGUUCAGACUCUCGUCC